AACCGGUGUGCUGACCAUCAGUGUUUACCAUCACUAGGGCUGGCUUUCUGUCAAUCACAUCAAGCCAUGUUUCUUUAGGGUAGAUCAUAAGACAAUUGUUUUCAUCUGUUUGCCCUACAAAGCCCUUGAUAUGUGAGUAUGCCAUCCUCCUGACGAGCCCUGAUCAAGGGAGAAAGCACAGAAGUCCAGCAAGAGAGUUUUCCAGACAUCGUGUGUCCAGAGCGAUGAGUGCACAGCAGCUGCGGAGUCCUUGAGAUUGGAUCCAAAUGGGGCGUUCAGGCAGAGGAACAGAUGCAAUGAGCUCCGGGAUGCCUAGGAGACUACUGUUCCCUGGGGAAAGCACGGAUCAAGGACAGACACACAGAGAAGAGGAGGGGGCAGCGUGACCACAGAGGCAGAGACUGCAGCAAAGACCAGCUAAAGCCACCAGAUGCUGCAAGAGGCACAGAACGCAUUCUCCCUAGGGCCUUUGGCGGGAGCACAGCCCUGCUGACAACUUGAUUGCAGACUUCUGGCCUCCAGAAUUGUGAAAGAAUAAAUGUCUGCUGUUUUAAGCCAC
rnacentral:lncRNA from 1 species